UGUACCUGCAAAGAACAUAAGCUCAUCUUUUUUAUGGCUGCAUAGUAUUCCAUGAUGAAUAUGUGCCACAUUUCCUUUUUCCAGUCUAUUAUUGAUGGCCAUUUGAGUUAGUUCCAAGUCAUUUCUCUUGUGAAUAGUGCUGCAAUAAACAUACAUGUGCAUGUGUCUUUAUAGUAUAAUCAUUGAUCACACCUUUG